rnacentral:rRNA from 1 species
UACGUAGGGAGCAAGCGUUGUCCGGAAUCAUUGGGCGUAAAGGGUGCGUAGGCGGCGCGGUAAGUCGGGUGUGAAAUCUCGGGGCUUAACUCCGAAACUGCAUUCGAUACUGCCGUGCUUGAGGACUGGAGAGGAGACUGGAAUUCCUGGUGUAGCGGUGAAAUGCGCAGAUAUCAGGAGAACACCCGUGGCGAAGGCGGCUCUCUGGAACGCAACUGACGCUGAGACGCGAAAGCGUGGGGAGCAAACAGG